rnacentral:rRNA from 1 species
UACGGGGGGGGCAAGCGUUGUUCGGAAUUACUGGGCGUAAAGGGCGCGUAGGCGGUUCGUCAAGUCCUGUGUGAAAUCCCCCGGCUCAACUGGGGAACUGCACAGGAAACUAGCGGGCUUGAGUUCGGGAGAGGGAAGCGGAAUUCCGGGUGUAGCGGUGAAAUGCGUAGAUAUCCGGAGGAACACCGGUGGCGAAGGCGGCUUCCUGGACCGACACUGACGCUGAGGCGCGAAAGCUAGGGGAGCAAACGGG